GACGAACGCUGGCGGCGUGCUUAACACAUGCAAGUCGAACGAAGUGGCGAACGGGUGAGUAACGCGUAAUCAACCUGCCCUUCAGAGGGGGACAACCGUUGGAAACGACUGCUAACACCGCAUACUGAAGUAGGGGAUUGCGUCGGAUUAGCUAGUUGGAGGGGUAACGGCCCACCAAGGCGAUGAUCAGUAGCCUGUCUGAGAGGGUGAACGGCCAGAUCGGGACUGAGACACGGCCCAAACUCCUACGGGAGGCAGCAGUGGGUAAUCUUCCGCAAUGGACGAAAGUCUGACGGAGCAACGCCGCGGGAGUGAUGACGGCCUUGGGGUUGUAAAGCGCUGUUAAUCAGGACGCGGUACCGGAAUAGAAAGCCACGGCUAACUACGUGCCAGCAGCCGCGGUAAUUC
rnacentral:rRNA from 1 species